rnacentral:rRNA from 1 species
UGAUUCCUACGGGAGGCAGCAGUGAGGAAUAUUGGUCAAUGGGCGAGAGCCUGAACCAGCCAAGUAGCGUGCAGGAUGACGGCCCUAUGGGUUGUAAACUGCUUUUAUGCGGGGAUAAAGUGCAGGACGUGUCCUUCAUUGCAGGUACCGCAUGAAUAAGGACCGGCUAAUUCCGUGCCAGCAGCCGCGGUAAUACGGAAGGUCCGGGCGUUAUCCGGAUUUAUUGGGUUUAAAGGGAGCGUAGGCCGUGGAUUAAGCGUGUUGUGAAAUGCAGGUGCUCAACGUCUGCACUGCAGCGCGAACUGGUUCACUUGAGUGUGCACAACGCAGGCGGAAUUCGUCGUGUAGCGGUGAAAUGCUUAGAUAUGACGAAGAACUCCGAUUGCGAAGGCAGCCUGCGGGAGCACAACUGACGCUGAAGCUCGAAAGUGCGGGUAUCGAACAGGAUUAGAUACCCUGGUAGUCCGCACGGUAAACGAUGGAUGCCCGUUGUCAGGCUGUUUCAGCCUGGUGACCAAGCGAAAGCAUUAAGCAUCCCACCUGGGGAGUACGCCGGCAACGGUGAAACUCAAAGGAAUUGACGG